rnacentral:rRNA from 1 species
UACGAAGGGGCUAGCGUUGCUCGGAAUUACUGGGCGUAAAGCGCACGUAGGCGGCUUUCUAAGUCGGGGGUGAAAUCCUGGAGCUCAACUCCAGAACUGCCUUCGAUACUGGAGCUUGAGUCCGGGAGAGGUGAGUGGAACUGCGAGUGUAGAGGUGAAAUUCGUAGAUAUUCGCAAGAACACCAGUGGCGAAGGCGGCUCACUGGCCCGGUACUGACGCUGAGGUGCGAAAGCGUGGGGAGCAAACAGGGAUUAAGAAACC